rnacentral:rRNA from 1 species
UAGGGAAUCUUCCGCAAUGGACGAAAGUCUGACGGAGCAACGCCGCGUGAGCGAAGAAGGUCUUAGGAUCGUAAAGCUCUGUUGUCAGGGAAGAACAAGUGCCGUUCGAACAGGGCGGUACCUUGACGGUACCUGACGAGGAAGCCACGGCUAACUACGUGCCAGCAGCCGCGGUAAUACGUAGGUGGCAAGCGUUGUCCGGAAUUAUUGGGCGUAAAGCGCGCGCAGGCGGUUCCUUAAGUCUGAUGUGAAAUCUCGCGGCUCAACCGCGAGCGGCCAUUGGAAACUGGGGAGCUUGAGUGCAGGAGAGGGGAGCGGAGUUCCGCGUGUAGCGGUGAAAUGCGUAGAGAUGUGGAGGAACACCAGUGGCGAAGGCGGCUCUCUGGCCUGUAACUGACGCUGAGGCGCGAAAGCGUGGGGAGCGAACAGG